UACAGAGGUGGCAAGCGUUGUUCGGAAUUACUGGGCGUAAAGGGCGCGUAGGCGGCUUGGUCAGUCCCGUGUGAAAUCCCUCGGCUCAACUGAGGAACUGCACGGGAAACUGCCUGGCUUGAGUUCGGGAGAGGGAAGCGGAAUUCCGGGUGUAGCGGUGAAAUGCGUAGAUAUCCGGAGGAACACCGGUGGCGAAGGCGGCUUUCUGGACACUAACUGACGCUGAGACGCGAAAGCGUGGGGAGCAAACAGG
rnacentral:rRNA from 1 species